UUCCGGUAGGUUUGGAUGUUUUUCGCACAUUGCCCUCUAACCUGUGGUGCACUCAACGAAACCGCGCAACAGUUUUCCGAUUUUCAACUUGUCCUCCACACACAACCCUAACUUAGUUGUGAGGAUGAUUGAGAUUAAAAGUGAUUUUCAAACUUGAUGGCAAAGUGAAAUUUGGUACAUACGGAAAAUCUAUCAAACGUGUCUGUUUCGUGCUGGUCCUUCUUAGGAGGAUAAGUGCUUUCCAGACAUGCUGUGCGGAAAUAUCGUUUUGUGUCAAUUCUGUUUUCUGUAAUACUUCGCGAAAUUGGCUGAGCAAUCCGAAUCGCACGGUUGUGUGUUUGCAUAAAAUUAAUUUUCCUUCGGGUGUGUAUUUUCGUUUUAUACCACGGUAAAUAAUUUAAUGAAGCGUUGUGAUCGUCUAGCGGUGAAUUGUGUAAAUCAACCCAACAGGAAGAGAAACAUGUAUACAUAUUUCUAAAUACAGAUGGAGCGUGUGAGAUGACGUUCUUGCCCUAGGGAGUCAAACUGUGGAAACUCAGGCGCCAGCGGCAUCAUAAUAUCGCCAAAGGCUAGUGCGCUACAAACAAAUUGACUGUAUGAGACACAGAUGCACAGUGUGAUUGAUGGAAUUAAAUUAAAAUUGAAAGGAAGCCAGUGCAUUUGCACAUUGCAAAAUUUUGAUUAGUUCAAUAUUAUGUUAGCAAUAAUUACUAUUAAAUGAACAAAACACGUCCACGGAAUCGAAUCACUGCGGCGAAGGAAACACUGUUCCAUCUUCUCUAGCACCGUGAUGGAGGGUGAGCCAGCGAAGUUACAAACGAACGUACGCACUACGUGACAGCACUAAUAUGGCGGAAAUUACCAACGUCACCAGUCAACAGACAGAAAUAGAGAAAGUCUAGCCAAGGUCGGGCGAAGCUAUCACUUCGCUCUGACGUGUUGAAAUCCCAGGAAAACAGUAUCUAAAUUUUAGUAUUGUUCGAGCACAUUUUAUUGUCACUUAAACACGACACAAAUAAUCCUUGAAAUGUGUUGAUGUGCAAUAACGUCAAAUACAUUUCAAUCUUCAGCGUAUGGCACAAAAAAUAGGUAACUGAUUCACUAUGGUUUUUAAAAAGCAUAAUAUAAAAACAAACCUAAAAAACAAAUAUACGUUAUUUUAUUCUUAUUACAGAUGACAUUAUAUAUCAUAUAUUACAAUUCUCUAAAGCACAUAAUUUGAUACAAAAUUCGAACAGCGUUAGUUUCUCGUUAAAUUAUGAUUAGCCUAUUUUGAUUUGAUGAUGAAGGGUGCCAUCAAAAUCACUUUCGUUACUUCCACAAACUAUGUAUCUAAUAUCACUAAAUCUAUUUGAAUUGAAAAACAUUGAUUUGUUCCCAAAAUCAGCAGUAUAAUAACUAAAAUCCCAUAAGAAUUAUGUAAUACUCUUGUUUAAACACAAAGAAAAAUUCUAUGUUGCUAUAGCUUUUAAACAAUUGCGUCAAACAACCUAGUAUCGUAGUUCACUGUAUGUCAACAGCAAAAAAAAGUAUAAUUAAACAAAAUACCCAAAUAUGUGGAAACAGUCAAAAGCAAAAAAUAAAAAUUCAACGCUCCCGUCUGAAAACCCAUAAGCAGUUUUACAAAGAUAAACAAAUUUAAGAGUUUCUGAAUGGCUUAUGGCGGAUAGUAUGAGCCCUACGAAAGUCUACAUUGUUCAGAUUGACAAAUAAAAAUAUAUACCACAUACAAUAGUGUUCACAGGCGAGAAGACAAGUGCCACAUUUUGAGUUUGAUCUGCCAGAUUUUCCCAAAAAGUUAAGGUAACCCUGCACUGCAAUAAAUCUGUACUCCAUCACGUUUACACGAAUUUAAUAUAUUCGAGGCAGCUACAUAUGUAGUACCUGCAUGUACCAUAA